ACUGCCAUGCAAUGAGGACUGAAGCAGCUCUGUGAAGAUGUCCAUAUGGAGAGGAAUUGAGGUCCCAAACCAAUAGCCAGUACCAGGUGCCCGGCCAUGUGAUGAAUGAAGGGGAUUCAAGCCUUGCCACCGAGUUACAGGAAGAUGUAGAGGAAAAUCCUAGUCCAACUGUGGAAGAGAAUAAUGUGGUAGUUAAAAAACAGGGGCCAAAUUUACAUAAUUGGAGUGGUGACUGGAGCUUUUGGAUUUCAAGUUCCACCUAUAAAGACAGGAAUGAGGAAUACAGAAGACAGUUCACACAUCUACCUGAUACAGAGAGGCUGAUAGCAGAUUAUGCUUGUGCUCUUCAGAGGGACAUUUUGCUUCAGGGACGACUAUACCUUUCAGAAAACUGGCUAUGUUUCUAUAGCAACAUCUUCAGAUGGGAAACUACAAUUUCUAUUGCUUUAAAGAAUAUAACCUUCAUGACCAAGGAGAAAACUGCUCGACUCAUCCCAAAUGCUAUCCAGAUAGUUACAGAAAGUGAAAAGUUUUUCUUCACAUCUUUUGGUGCCAGGGAUAGAAGUUACCUCAGUAUCUUUAGGUUGUGGCAGAAUGUAUUAUUAGAUAAGAGCCUGACUAGACAGGAAUUCUGGCAACUGCUCCAGCAGAACUAUGGCACUGAGCUAGGUUUAAAUGCUGAGGAGAUGGAAAACUUGUCACUGUCGAUUGAGGAUGUGCAGCCAAGAAGUCCAGGAAGAAGCAGCUUGGAUGACUCUGGGGAGAGAGAUGAAAAAUUAUCCAAGUCAAUCAGUUUUACCAGUGAAUCAAUUAGUCGGGUUUCAGAAACAGAGUCAUUCGAUGGAAAUUCAUCAAAAGGAGGAUUAGGCAAAGAGGAGUCCCAAAAUGAGAAACAGACCAAAAAGAGUCUCUUACCAACUUUGGAAAAGAAGUUAACUAGAGUGCCAUCAAAGUCACUGGACUUGAAUAAAAAUGAAUAUCUUUCUCUGGACAAAAGCAGCACUUCAGAUUCUGUUGAUGAAGUAUGCAGCUGGGCAUGGAUUAGUCAUAUGCUGUUUACCUGAAUUUAGGACUUUAGGAAGAUCUACUCUGGCCCCCAGUGGCCAAAUAGAAAAUGUUCCUGAGAAAGAUCUUCAUGGAAGACUUUUUAUCAACCGUAUUUUUCAUAUCAGUGCUGACAGAAUGUUUGAAUUGCUCUUUACCAGUUCACGCUUUAUGCAGAAAUUUGCCAGUUCUAGAAAUAUAAUAGAUGUAGUAUCUACCCCUUGGACUGCAGAACUUGGAGGUGAUCAGCUGAGAACCAUGACCUACACUGUAGUCCUUAAUAGUCCACUUACUGGAAAAUGCACUGCUGCCACUGAAAAGCAGACACUGUAUAAAGAAAGUCGGGAAGCACGAUUUUAUUUGGUAGAUUCAGAAGUACUGACACAUGAUGUCCCCUACCAUGAUUACUUCUAUACUGUGAACAGAUACUGUAUCAUCCGAUCUUCAAAACAGAAAUGCAGGCUAAGAGUUUCCACAGAUUUGAAAUACAGAAAACAGCCAUGGGGCCUUGUCAAAUCUUUAAUUGAAAAGAAUUCCUGGAGUUCUUUGGAGGAUUAUUUCAAACAGCUUGAAUCAGAUUUGUUAAUUGAAGAAUCUGUAUUGAAUCAGGCCAUUGAAGACCCUGGAAAACUUAGUGGCCUACGAAGGAGAAGGCGAACAUUCAACCGAACAGCAGAAACAGUUCCUAAACUUUCUUCUCAGCAUUCCUCUGGAGAUGUGGGCUUAGGUGCCAAAGGGGAUAUUACAGGAAAGAAAAAGGAAAUGGAAAACUAUAACGUCACUCUUAUUGUGGUAAUGAGUAUUUUUGUGUUGUUAUUAGUUUUGUUGAAUGUGACACUGUUUCUGAAGCUGUCAAAGAUAGAACAUGCUGCUCAGUCCUUUUACCGUCUCCGCCUCCAAGAAGAGAAAUCUUUAAAUUUAGCCUCUGAUAUGGUGUCAAGAGCAGAAACUAUUCAGAAGAAUAAAGAUCAGGCCCAUCGUUUAAAGGGAGUGCUCCGAGACUCCAUAGUGAUGCUUGAACAGCUGAAGAGCUCACUCAUUAUGCUUCAGAAAACGUUUGAUCUACUAAAUAAGAAUAAGACGGGCAUGGCUGUUGAAAGCUAGUGAUCUGAAGGACUAAAACUGCAGAGAUACUUGGAACUUAAAGAAAAUACCUGGAAGAAAACCAGACGAAUGAAGGAUUUUG
rnacentral:sRNA from 1 species